UCCUUUGUCAGCAGCACAUGCCUCAGUAUCUAAGGAGGACUGUGUUUCUAUUCUCACAAGCCAGAGAGAGAGAGAGAAGGGAGAUGACCUUGGUUUUUCAGACUGUGGAGCGGCCUUGCUGCCUGCAUGCACUGAGGAGAUAAGCAGAAGUGCUGAGGAGCCAACGUGACAAACCCUGACGCCACACAGUGCUAAAGCUGGACUCUCCAGCACUGAUAGGCUGUAUAUAUACAGGAAUACUGCAGGACUGGCUCAUGUGAUGCUUCCAUUCAACAUCUGUACACCCACACACAGCCCCCUCUUAUCUGCCCCAUAUACUGACUCAUUUUUCAACCAACUUUAAUUACAGUUGCAUGGUGGAGAAUAAUGGAGCUUAAAAAGAGAUGGUGACAGCAAAUGUACUGGAACUAUUGUGGCCCUGCCUGGGAGUGCUGAAUUGUUUGUUCAGUCCUACAGACAUGACCCUUGCUGAAAUAUGCAGGGGCAGACACAAAGACUCUGGUGAGGAUGCAUCUGGAUGCACCAGACCACUGAACGCUCUGGGGUGACGUGAUGGGUGAUGUACUGCAAGUUGUCAGGGUAAAUGACUUGAAGAUUUCUGAGCUGGUGGAUACAGAAGCUCUGUGAUGUAACUAACCGGAUUAACGGUUAGCUAGGACUUCAUGGGAGGAAAAUGCAGUGUGGACUCCUCAUCCUCUGCUGCAAUGGCAACACAUACAGCAUUAAAUGUAUAGAAGAUACACUUACACACACACACACUGGAAUUACAUACACACCUUUACUGUCUAUGACAAACUAAGGAUGAAGAAAGAGUGACCACAUGAUCAACAAAUUAUGUUCAUGCAACCGUUGUUUGAGGCAAAGAACACCAGAAUGACUAAAACCAUUAAAAACUAGGUAGCCUCUAGAAUAAUGUCAAAUAGGGUAUUGAAUUUUCACAAAGGUAUCUUUACUUCUGAUGAGUCCUACAGUACAUUACAAUUCCUACAAAUUAAACAACAAAAUAUUCUUAUUGUCUUUAAAAACAACCAAUAUUAACAUAUUCCUGCCUCAUGGACAGGAUGACAUACUCAUCCCUGCCAUCCAAACAUCUCACCAAUCACCAUUGAUUCAUAUGACUGUUCCUGAUCUGCCACUGAUUGUUAAGUUCAGGCAGAAAAAACUACUUAGGGUUGGAGAAUGAUUGUGGUUUGG